rnacentral:rRNA from 1 species
CACUUCGGGAUAAGCUUGGGAAACUGGGUCUAAUACCGGAUAGGAGCCAUCUUUAGUGUGGUGGUUGGAAAGUUUUUUCGGUGUAGGAUGAGCUCGCGGCCUAUCAGCUUGUUGGUGGGGUAAUGGCCUACCAAGGCGGCGACGGGUAGCCGGCCUGAGAGGGUGUACGGCCACAUUGGGACUGAGAUACGGCCCAG